CCUGACUGCUAUCGGAUUGAUACUAAGCCAUGCGAGUCAUUGUAGCAAUACAAGGCAGACGGCUCAGUAACGCGUAGUCAAUCUACCCUAUGGACGGGAAUAACCUCGGGAAACUGAGAAUAAUGCCCGAUAGAACAUUAUGCCUGGAAUGGUUUAUGUUUCAAAUGAUUUAUCGCCAUAGGAUGGGACUGCGGCCUAUCAGUUUGUUGGUGAGGUAAUGGCCCACCAAGACUAUUACAGGUACGGGCUCUGAGAGGAGUAGCCCGGAGAUGGGUACUGAGACACGGACCCAGGCCCUAUGGGGCGCAGCAGGCGAGAAAACUUUGCAAUGUGCGAAAGCACGACAAGGUUAAUCCGAGUGGUUUCUGCUAAAGAAACCUUUUGUCAGUCCUAGAAACACUAACGAAUAAGGGGUGGGCAAGUUCUGGUGUCAGCCGCCGCGGUAAAACCAGCACCUCAAGUGGUCAGGAUGAUUAUUGGGCCUAAAGCAUCCGUAGCUCGUUUUGUAAGUUUUCGGUUAAAUCCAUGCGCUUAACGUAUGGGCUGCCGGGAAUACUGCAUAACUAGGAAGUGGGAGAGGUAGACGGUACUCGGGAGGAAGGGGUAAAAUCCUUUGAUCUCUUGAUGACCACCUGUGGCGAAGGCGGUCUACCAGAACACGUUCGACGGUGAGGGAUGAAAGCUGGGGGAGCAAACCGGAUUAGAUACCCGGGUAGUCCUAGCUGUAAACUAUGCAAACUCAGUGAUGCAUUGGCUUAUGGCCAAUGCAGUGCUGCAGGGAAGCCGUUAAGUUUGCCGCCUGGGAAGUACGUACGCAAGUAUGAAACUUAAAGGAAUUGGCGGGGGAGCACCACAAGGGGUGAAGCCUGCGGUUCAAUUGGAUUCAACGCC
rnacentral:rRNA from 1 species